GGCUUUGCACAGUAGCAGUAUCAUAGCCAAUGAGGUUUAUCUGAGGCACGAUUAUUGCUAAUUGAAAACUUUUUCCAUAAAAAC
rnacentral:snRNA from 1 species